GACGGAGGAUGCAAGUGUUAUCCGGAAUCACUGGGCGUAAAGCGUCUGUAGGUGGUUUAAUAAGUCAACUGUUAAAUCUUGAGGCUCAACCUCAAAAUCGCAGUCGAAACUAUUAGGCUAGAGUAUAGUAGGGGUAAAGGGAAUUUCCAGUGGAGCAGUGAAAUGCGUAGAGAUUGGAAAGAACACCGAUGGCGAAGGCACUUUACUGGGCUAUUACUAACACUCAGAGACGAAAGCUAGGGUAGCAAAUGGG
rnacentral:rRNA from 1 species